AUGCCUCGUCCUCCUCCACGACAAGAGCGACAUCACGAGGAACGAGCAUUUGAGGACCUUCCUCCUCGUCAAGAGCAACAUCAAAAUCGCCACUACGACGAAGAACUCCGCCACGGCAAGCUCAAGUUCACCAUGCCCAAGUUCCCCGGAAGCAAUGAUCCCGAAGAAUAUCUCUCAUGGGCAUUGAAGGUGGACAAGAUAUUCCGUCUUCACAACUACAACGAGGAAAAGAAGAUCGCCAUGGCCUCCCUCGAGUUUCAAGACUACGUCCUCAUUUGGUGGGAACAAGUGAUCGAGCGACGACAAGCAAGAGGCGAACCAUCAAUCACAACUUGGACGCAAAUGAAGGAUGUUAUGAGAGCUCGCUUCGUGCCUGCACACUACACCCGUGAUCUCUUGAAGAAGUUGCAACUCCUCAAGCAAGGCACGAAGACGGUGGAAGAAUACUACCAAGAAAUGGAGGUUGCCAUGAUAAGAGCCAAUGUCAAGGAAGAUGACAAGCAAACUUGGCACGCUUCUUGA
rnacentral:rRNA from 1 species